rnacentral:rRNA from 1 species
UACGAAGGGGGCUAGCGUUGCUCGGAAUCACUGGGCGUAAAGCGCACGUAGGCGGCUUUCUAAGUCAGGGGUGAAAUCCUGGAGCUCAACUCCAGAACUGCCUUUGAUACUGGAGAGCUUGAGUCCGGAAGAGGUGAGUGGAACUCCGGGUGUAGAGGUGAAAUUCGUAGAUAUUCGGAAGAACACCAACGGCGAAGGCAGCUCGCUGGGACGGUACUGACGCUGAGACGCGAAAGCGUGGGGAGCGAACAGG